rnacentral:rRNA from 1 species
AACCUUUACACUGCACGACAGUGCGAUAAGGGAAUCCCAAGUGCGUAGGCAUAGAGCCUACGCUUUUGUCCACCGUAGGGAGGUGGACGAAUAAGGGCUGGGCAAGACCGGUGCCAGCCGCCGCGGUAAUACCGGCAGCCCGAGUGAUGGCCGAUCUUAUUGGGCCUAAAGCGUCCGUAGCUGGCCGCACAAGUCCAUCGGAAAAUCCACCCGCUCAACGGGUGGGCGUCCGGUGGAAACUGUGUGGCUUGGGACCGGAAGGCGCGACGGGUACGUCCGGGGUAGGAGUGAAAUCCCGUAAUCCUGGACGGACCGCCGAUGGCGAAAGCACGUCGCGAGAACGGAUCCGACAGUGAGGGACGAAAGCCAGGGUCUCGAACCGGAUUAGAUACCCGGGUAGUCCUGGCUGUAAACAAUGCUCGCUAGGUAUGUCACGCGCCAUGAGCACGUGAUGUGCCGCAGUGAAGACGAUAAGCGAGCCGCCUGGGAAGUACGCCCGCAAGGAUGAAACUUAA